rnacentral:rRNA from 1 species
UACGUAGGGUGCGAGCGUUGUCCGGAAUUACUGGGCGUAAAGAGCUCGUAGGUGGUUUGUCGCGUUGUUCGUGAAAACUCACAGCUUAACUGUGGGCGUGCGGGCGAUACGGGCAGACUAGAGUACUGCAGGGGAGACUGGAAUUCCUGGUGUAGCGGUGAAAUGCGUAGAUAUCAAGAGGAACACCUGCGGCGAAGGCGGGUUGCUGGGCCGACACUGACGCUGAGGCGCGAAAGCCAGGGGAGCGAACGGG